UCUCAAGGGGAUAACACUUGGAAACCGGUGCUAAUACCGUAUAACAAUCGAAACCGCACGGUUUCGGUUUGAAAGGCGCUUUUGCGUCACUGAUGGAUGGACCCGCGGUGCAUUAGCUAGUUGGUGAGGUAACGGCUCACCAAGGCAACGAUGCAUAGCCGACCUGAGAGGGUGAUCGGCCACAUUGGGACUGAGACACGGCCCAAACUCCUACGGGAGGCAGCAGUAGGGAAUCUUCGGCAAUGGACGCAAGUCUGACCGAGCAACGCCGCGUGAGUGAAGAAGGUUUUCGGAUCGUAAAACUCUGUUGUUAGAGAAGAACAAGGAUGAGAGUAAAAUGUUCAUCCCUUGACGGUAUCUAACCAGAAAGCCACGGCUAACUACGUGCCAGCAGCCGCGGUAAUACGUAGGUGGAAGCGUUGUCCGGAUUUAUUGGGCGUAAAGCGAGCGCAGGCGGUUUCUUAAGUCUGAUGUGAAAGCCCCCGGCUCAACCGGGGAGGGUCAUUGGAAACUGGGAAACUUGAGUGCAGAACAGGAGAGUGGAAUUCCAUGUGUAGCGGUGAAAUGCGUAGAUAUAUGGAGGAACACCAGUGGCGAAGGCGGCUCUCUGGUCUGUAACUGACGCUGAGGCUCGAAAGCGUGGGGAGCAAACAGGAUUAGAUACCCUGGUAGUCCACGCCGUAGACGAUGAGUGCUAGUGUUGAGGGUUCCGCCCUUCAGUGCUGCAGCUAACGCAUUAAGCACUCCGCUGGGAGUACGACCGCAAGUGAACUCAAGGAUUGACGGGGCCGCACAACGGUGGAGAUGUGUUUAUUCGAGCACGCAAGAACUUACAGUCUGACAUCUUUGACACUCUAGAGAUAGAGCUUCCCUCGGGCAAUGACAGUGUGCAGAUUGUCUCACUCUGUCGGAAUUUGGUAAUCCGCACGAGCCACCUUAUGUAUUGCACAUUACU
rnacentral:rRNA from 1 species